UACAGAGGGUGCGAGCGUUGUCCGGAAUCACUGGGCGUAAAGGGCGCGUAGGUGGCGGGCCAAGUCCAUGGUGAAAGCUCGAUGCUCAACAUCGAGUCGGCCACGGAUACUGGUUUGCUGGAGCACUGUAGAGGCAGAUGGAAUUCCGGGUGUAGCGGUGGAAUGCGUAGAGAUCCGGAAGAACACCGGUGGCGAAGGCGGUCUGCUGGGCAGUUGCUGACACUGAGGCGCGACAGCGUGGGGAGCAAACAGG
rnacentral:rRNA from 1 species